CAUUUUCGAAGAAAACAAAAUGCGUUUUAAAUAUGCGUAUAAUUGGUUCGCCUUUUUACGAUUUAAUCAUUUGCACAUAUGCUUGAUUUAUUUCAGACAAAUAUGCAAUUGUAGAAACAUCCCUAUCCGUCCAAAGCGUCAUCAUUUUAUCAUUAGUGAUUAUCAUUGCACUUCUGUUGGCUUGGAUGGGAUUAUAUGUUCGUAGACUGAAACAGAGAUACAAAGACAGGAUGGAACCUGCAAUAAAUGUCCAAACAUCUGAAGGGACUUUUGGUGAAAGUGCUCAUUAUACAGAGAUAAUUGAAGAUGAUAACCUACAACCCACAU